rnacentral:tRNA from 1 species
AAUUGAUUAUUUUUAAACAAAGAAUAUAAAAUUGUUAAUUUUAUUAAAAAGUUUAAAAGAUUU